rnacentral:SRP_RNA from 1 species
CUGGUCCCCUCGCAAUGAUAAGCUGUGAACCCCGCCAGGCCCGGAAGGGAGCAACGGUAAUAGCUGACUCAUGUGCCGUGGUGUGGCUGGC